GUGGUCCAAAUGCAGUGGUGUUUACAACUAAUGUAUCACAUCCAGUUACAGAUUUCUUUAUUUCCUUUCCACUCUUACGACGUCACUUGCCUAGCCUAAG
rnacentral:Y_RNA from 1 species